UGCGUAGGCGGCGCGGUAAGUCGGGUGUGAAAUCUCGGAGCUUAACUCCGAAACUGCAUUCGAUACUGCCGUGCUUGAGGACUGGAGAGGAGACUGGAAUUUACGGUGUAGCAGUGAAAUGCGUAGAUAUCGUAAGGAAGACCAGUGGCGAAGGCGGGUCUCUGGACAGUUCCUGACGCUGAGGCACGAAGGCCAGGGAGGCAAACG
rnacentral:rRNA from 1 species